rfam:Dipodomys ordii contig_37024, whole genome shotgun sequence.
GGGAAGGAGGCUCAGUGGUAGAGCGCUUGCUUUGCAUGCAUGAGGCCCUGGGUUGGAUUUCUCAGCACCCCCU